rnacentral:rRNA from 1 species
AAGGGCACCACAAGAACGCGUGGAGCAUGUGGCUUAAUUUGACUCAACGCGGGAAAUCUUACCGGGUCCGGACACACUGAGGAUUGACAGGCGUUUGUGUUACAUAUUUUAUUCUCUUCGGAGUUUAAAAUUUGUUUCACUAUAAAUAUGCUAGUCCUUUCAUGAUUGUGUGAUAGGUGGUGCAUGGCCGUUCUUAGUUCGUGGAGUGAUCUGUCUGCUUAAUUGCGUUUCACAAAGGACUUUCUAACUUCUAUCUGUUGCGCGGCUCAACUUUUGUUGUGUCUGUUGCACGGUAGAGAAAAAGUCCUGAAGGCAACGAACGUGACCGCAACCUCUUGUUGCCUCCUUUUUUAUUAAACAUGUGUAUGGUUAUAUUCUGUUUCGGCAGGGUGUGCCUACACUGCACGGAGUUUUUUGCAAACUAGAGGGACCGCUGACAACUUUUAAAACAGAGGAAGGUUGCGGCAAUAACAGGUCUGUGAUGCCCUUAGAUGUUCCGGGCUGCACACGUGCUACAAUGAUUAUUGCAGUGAGCAUCCAUUUUUACAAGAGUUUGAGUUUGUGUUGGUAUCCCUUGGGAUCCUACACAACUCACUCACCCACCUGCUUCGAAAGUAAGCAGGUAAUCAAUUCGAAGUAAUGAUUUCCUUUUCGCACAUACUUAUAUCUCUUGUUUGUAGCCGUGCUUUCAGCUUGUCUGUUAGUAUUGUUUGUUACCUUGAGAUAUGUGCUCCAUUAAUUCAUGGUGGGGACAGACCAUUGUUAAUUGUUGGUCUCGGUCUCAACUAGGAAUGCCUUGUACGGGUCUUUGGUUCAACAAACCACCCGGAAUAUGUCCCUGCCCUUUGUACACACCGCCCGUC